UACGUAGGGUGCAAGCGUUAAUCGGAAUUACUGGGCGUAAAGCGUGCGCAGGCGGUUUCGUAAGUCUGUCGUGAAAUCCCCGGGCUCAACCUGGGAAUUGCGAUGGAGACUGCAAGGCUAGAAUCUGGCAGAGGGGGGUAGAAUUCCACGUGUAGCAGUGAAAUGCGUAGAGAUGUGGAGGAACACCGAUGGCGAAGGCAGCCCCCUGGGUCAAGAUUGACGCUCAUGCACGAAAGCGUGGGGAGCAAACAGG
rnacentral:rRNA from 1 species